AGCAGGGCCCCACACAUCAGAAUGAACCAAAUCAAAUGGAGCAUGAGCGAAAGAUUCACUAUUAUGAAAAGGUCAAGCUGGUUGUUUCGCAAGUUGCUUAUCUAUCUUACUUAGCCUAACCCUCUCUCGAGAAAGCAUUGUCUAUAUUGACUUGAGAGCCUUUCUUCUGUCACAACAAUAAAGGGUAACUUCGGGCUUUCAAGCCGGCACGGGCGGACUCCCUAUACCGUCCCAUGAGCAUGAAAUUCUCCCCCACUUUAGUAAUGAGUAAUGAGGCUAUCUUCUUUUCCUAACCGGACAACUGCCAAAUGCAAAAGGGUUAGGCGAGAUGACUUGACUGAACCGAGCCUACUUUUACUAAAAAAAUCCUUCUUUAAUUAACAUUACCCACUUGCUAACACUGGAGGCCUUAGCAGGGCUUUCAGAAACAGGGCCAUACUCUCGGUCGGGCAUAGAAACUUGCUGGACAAGAGAGGAAAGGAAAUAGGUUGUGGGGUCGCGGUGAAUUGAGCUCUCCCGAUCCAUUGAUCUGCACCUGCGGGUAGAGAAUUUGCAACCAACUUGCUGGCAUUAUAAAAGAGUAAAAGUAAAGAAUAGCACCAACCAAAUGGAAUAAGCUACUAUCACGGGAACUAUACGGGCUAUAGCCCUCACCUCCUUCGAGCCUACCCGAGACUUCCUCUAUAAACCAUAGAACUGGAACAAUCACUGUUCCAGGGUCUGUCUUAGAGUUCUAUCUCGUGCUUGACAUCAAUUACAUCCAAACCUUCAAUCGGGUAUACUUUCCACAAUAACAGGCGAGUCAUAGUUAGGUAAAAGUUAUACAGAAAGAUGACAUCGCUGGCGAACUUGAAGCUAGUUAGGUAGAUCCCCGCCAAGUGUUGACACCGGAUUAGGAAAUUUCUUUCUUUCUUUGAAGGACUCAGCUCCAAUUCCUCUUAGAGAUCCUCUCUUUGCCUUUUUGGUUUCUU
rnacentral:lncRNA from 1 species